rnacentral:rRNA from 1 species
CAAUAGCGUAUAUUAAAGUUGUUGCAGUUAGAACGCUCGCAGUCGGAUUUCGGGGCGGGUCGACCGGUCUGCCGAUGGGUACGCACUGGCCGACGCGUCCUUUUUGCCGGAGACCGUCCCUACUCUUAACUGAGCGGGGUCGGGAGACGGCACUUUUACUUUGAAAAAAUCAGAGUGUUUCAAGCAGGCAGCUCGCUCUUGCAUGGAUUAGCAUGGGAUAAUGAAAUAGGACUUUGGUGCUAUUUUGUUGGUUUCGAACACCGAAGUAAUGAUGAGAAGGGACAGUCAGGGGCACUCGUAUUCCGCCGAGAGAGGUGAAAUUCUCAGACCAGCGGAAGACGAACCACUGCGAAAGCAUUUGCCAGGGAUGUUUUCACUGA